rnacentral:lncRNA from 13 species
UGUCUAAAUUAUGUUUUCAUGCUAUGAUUGUUAAUAUUAACACACUAGCUGACAAUAUGUUCAAACAUUUGAUAAAAUAUCAAAUCUGAUUUAAAAGAUUACUUUCUAGAUAACGCUUGUCAUAAUUCUCAAAUGAGUCAUGUAUCAGCCUCUCUAGGCAAGAAUAGGCCUACAUACAAACUCAAUGGGUCAUUAGUUGAGGCAUUCUACCUUACAUUCUACCAUAAAUAUAUGUCUAUAUUUGGCUCUGCUUCUUCAUAUACAUGAAACUCAAGGUCAAAGCUCUUAUGGUUCCAGGUCAAUAGAGAACACCUAUCUCAACAGUAGAGGAAGUGUGUGUUAUCCGGUUUGCUCUGUAUGUUGCAGAGGAAAGCCACAUCACGUGGGCAGAGUACUCACUCAGGAAAUAACUCGAUCUGUAACUGCAUCUAAAAUAGGAAGUGGUAGCAGUGUUGCCGUGCAAGGAUUUCUCUUCUGUUUCGUCUACAUCUCUGAAGAACUGAACCACUAGCGUUACAAGGAAGUGUUAACGUGCACGUCUGUCUGCCUCUGCCCAUGUUGUGCUGUUAGCUAUUGGAAACGGAUAAUUAUCAAAAUAAUAUAAAUGUAAGUUCAACAUAAUUAUUUUACAAGGCACAGUUGAUUUAAGAUGCAUGUGUGAUCACUAUCAAAUGUCAUUCCUGUGUUACUGGUUCCUUCGCUUCCUUGUUACGACGUACAUAGUGUGUUUAUGAACGAUGAAGUCCUAUCGCUGUGUUUAUUCAUUCUGUAACUCAUUCUAAGCUCGUCUAUAACGUGGAUGAUGAUAAUGACGAUGACAGAGGCAUAGUAAUAUUCCAUAAAUUGUGUAUGAUUGUGAAUGGUAUGGGACACUUUAAGUGUAUAAACCAUGGUGACCUAAUUUAACCUGCGUCAAUGUGUUUCAAUGCGAGGCAGCUAAAGAACAGCGCGUGAGAGGUAACCUCUGAGAGACAACAUAAAAACAAAGUCACUCACCUGUGCAAUGGCGAGGGAACGCUCCCCAAAUGUUUAUGGUAAGUAAAUUCCAGUUCAGCCUAUUACUUUUCGAUAAUUCCGUCCUUUCCACAGCCUGUGUUUGAAACACAUUAUGUUAGUUAGUCUGUGUGCUGAGCUUGUGUCUGAUUAUUACCCUCUGAUGCAGGGGGUCCUCCUCCCCAGUCAGAUCUUAGACUCCUGCUGCUUGGGAGAGUAGGAGCUGGGAAGAGUACAGUAGCCAAAACCAUCCUGGGCAGCAAUAACUUCCGGAGUGAAGGAGGCAUGUGUGUGAAGAAGCAGGGUGGAAGGACCGUCACCGUGGUGGACACCCCGGGCUGGGACACUGUGAAAUACACGUCCACACACAUCAAACAAGAAAUUAAGAAGUGUGACCCUAUGUUCUCCAGGACCCCAUG